rnacentral:rRNA from 1 species
CAGUAGCCGCGGUAAUACGAAGGGUGCAAGCGUUAAUCGGAAUUACUGGGCGUAAAGCGCGCGUAGGUGGUUCGUUAAGUUGGAUGUGAAAGCCCUGGGCUCAACCUGGGAACUGCAUCCAAAACUGGUGAGCUAGAGUAUGGUAGAGGGUGGUGGAAUUUCCUGUGUAGCGGUGAAAUGCGUAGAUAUAGGAAGGAACAUCAGUGGCGAAGGCGACCACCUGGACUGAUACUGACACUGAGGUGCGAAAGCGUGGGGAGCAAACAGGAUUAGAUACCCCCGUAGUCCCUGUCUCUUAUAC